AUUUCUCUUAUAUUUUUUUGUUGGUUUAAUUAUUCUGAUCUGUUUAAGAGUUAAGACCCAGUAUUGACUCCAUGCACCUGCUAUUUUAACAUAUACAGUUGUCUUACAUGACUCCCAUAAACCUAAACUUUCCCAAUUCAUUUGGGUCUCCUCUCCAAUUCAAUUUCUGGGGGAUGAACUUGAAUUCAAAUAAUUCCCAUUUCCCAAAACACUACAAAUUUUGUAGAGGAGAAGAGAAACUCCCCAGUUGCAACACGAGAGAAGUGGUGUGGAUGUGGAACAGAAUGGGAGGGGACUGGAACAACAUGCGAAGGGUGCUUUGGAGCAAAAUCCCUAGGAAUGAACUGGAGCCUGGGUUCUCACAUAUACACAAGGAGAUGGAGAAAAGAAGCCCAUCACGUAUAUAUAAAUAAAUUAUAUUGAUAUGGAUAUAUUUCGAUGAUGGAGACGUGAUCCACUUCACUCAAGGGGGAUUAAGCUCAAAUAGUUGUAUAUGUCAAAACUGCGGUAAUCAACCGCGUAUUCAUGGUGUGGUCUCUUCCUGUCUAGAUUGUUUUCUUCCAGGUGGAGAUCAUGAUUUUUCUUGGUGUUAGUCCAUGUCUCUUCCUCCUCAAACCUGGAUGGAAUACUUGUACGACUACCCGUGCCGAUCCAAAUUAUGAAAAUGCCAGACACCGUGCGUUUUUCCUUCUCAGAAAUGGAUUUGUUAGCUACCACCUUUACAUAAAAAACAGUUAUGACUUUGCAAUAUAUUGCAAAACGGGGCUGAUACUGUUCACUAGCAUGGACGUGGGCAGGAAUGAGUCAGCAGCAUCGUUCUGAAUUAUUACUGCUUUUGUGUUUUUUGCUCUUCUUAAAAGCAUGCCUCCUAGUUUUACUGAUCUCACAGCUGCAGGUCUUGGUAUAUCCAGUACUUGUAGAUUGGCUCUUGAUGUCGGAGCUUAUCCUAAUUUUAUUCAAGUUGAAGUUGAUAGAUUUGCUGAAAUUGAGAGAUUGGCUUCUCAUUAUUUGAACUUCCCACUUGCCAUACGCUUCUUGUUUAAACUGGUUUUGAUAGAUCUGACAUGUGCUUAUAUUUUUUUGGGAUCGCGUACGUGGUGUUCUAAUUCUCGUCCACUGGUCUGGGCCCUAGCAGGCUUCAAAUUUUCAUACUGGGCUGUAUACAAUAGAGUGACCUUCUCUCUGUGCCUGGUCUUCAUAUGUAUACAUGAUUGAACCUUUCUUCUUUGUUUUUUUUCUUUUUUUUUUUAAUUAAUCUAAUCGUUAAGUUUUGUUUUUAUCUAAUUACUAAAAUUUUAGACGUUCCAAAUCCGGGGGGUGCUUUCCCAACAAGAUAGAGAGGAGGCAACUGCAGCAUGUGAUCGCAUCUACACAUGGAGGGGCUAUUUGUACGCUCAUCAUGGAAUAUAUAUUGGUAAACGAAAGGUGAUCCAUUUAACUCGAGGAGAUGCUCCUAUAACACCCAGCUGGUCUAUAUUCCAUCGGUGAUCGUGUGAGGAUUUGCAACAUGCGUAAUUUUCUCAAGGGCGGCAAACUCUACCGUUAUGACUAUGGUGUUGAUCUAGAUUUCUUUAUAGCCAAAAGUCGAGAAGGUACAGUUACUCUUGCCUAUUCGGAUCCACCAAGACUUGUCCUGCACCGUGCCUAUUUCCUCCUAAAGAAUGGCUUUGGUGCCUACAACCUCUUCAACAACAACUGUGAAGACUUUGCAAUAUAUUGCAAAACGGGGUUGCUAGCGCCAAGGAUCAUUGACCGUAGUGGACAGAUACCAUCCGUUUUUGCUGCCAUUUGUGCUAUCAUUUCAUUUCCAUAUUCAUUGCUGCUAACUAGUAUUAGUAAUUUUGUUGGUGGGCGCUCAAUCUGGAAACUGUUUUCUGAUAUAGGAUAUCGUAAGGAUGCUCGUAGAGUUGGAGUUCAGGAAUUAGGUGCUUUUGGGAGAUUCAGCUUUAUGUCACAUUAGUAUCCAAGUUUAUUUUUUACCUUAUUUUGAUAGGCAAAUUUUGGUUUCCUGAACAUACCGUGGCUAUGAGGAUUAAAAAUUGUCUACUCGACUGGAUUAUAACCGUUGCGUGUAUGUGGGCCGUGUCCGAUUGAUGGAAAUUGUAAUUUUUAUUUAUUUGAACUAAUGGGACAGUACAAUAAUGAAAUCUAUCCUUCUC